CAAGACUUGCGCUAAGGAGCGGCCGAUGUCUGAUUAGCUAGUUGGUGGGGUAAAGGCUUACCAAGGCAACGAUCAGUAGUUGGUCUGAGAGGACGACCAACCACACUGGGACUGAGACACGGCCCAGACUCCUACGGGGGGCAGCAGUGGGGAAUUUUGGACAAUGGGCGAAAGCCUGAUCCAGCCAUGCCGCGUGAGUGAAGAAGGCCUUCGGGUUGUAAAGCUCUUUUAGUCGGAAAGAAAGAGUUGCAAUGAAUAAUUGUGAUUUAUGACGGUACCGACAGAAAAAGCACCGGCUAACUACGUGCCAGCAGCCGCGGUAAUACGUAGGGUGCGAGCGUUAAUCGGAAUUACUGGGCGUAAAGGGUGCGCAGGCGGUCUUGCAAGUCAGAUGUGAAAGCCCCGGGCUUAACCUGGGAAUU
rnacentral:rRNA from 1 species